rnacentral:rRNA from 1 species
GACGAACGCUGGUGGCGUGCCUAAUACAUGCAAGUAGAACGCACAGUUUAUACCGUAGCUUGCUACACCAUAGACUGUGAGUUGCGAACGGGUGAGUAACGCGUGGGUAACCUGCCUGGUAGCGGGGGAUAACUAUUGGAAACGAUAGCUAAUACCGCAUAAUAUUAAUUAUUGCAUGAUAAUUAAUUGAAAGGUGCAAUUGCACCACUACCAGAUGGACCUGCGUUGUAUUAGCUAGUAGGUGAGGUAACGGCUCACCUAGGCGACGAUACAUAGCCGACCUGAGAGGGUGAUCGGCCACACUGGGACUGAGACACGGCCCAGACUCCUACGGGAGGCAGCCGUAGGGAAUCUUCGGCAAUGGACGAAAGUCUGACCGAGCAACGCCGCGUGAGUGAAGAAGGUUUUCGGAUCGUAAAGCUCUGUUGUAAGAGAAGAACGGGUGUGAGAGUGGAAAGUUCACACUGUGACGGUAUCUUACCAGAAAGGGACGGCUAACUACGUG